UACGUAGGGUGCAAGCGUUAAUCGGAAUUACUGGGCGUAAAGCGAGCGCAGACGGUUACUUAAGCAGGAUGUGAAAUCCCCGGGCUCAACCUGGGAACUGCGUUCUGAACUGGGUGACUAGAGUGUGUCAGAGGGAGGUAGAAUUCCACGUGUAGCAGUGAAAUGCGUAGAGAUGUGGAGGAAUACCGAUGGCGAAGGCAGCCUCCUGGGAUAACACUGACGUUCAUGCCCGAAAGCGUGGGUAGCAAACAGG
rnacentral:rRNA from 1 species